CAUUGUCGCCGCAGGAAUAAUUUGUUUUGAUUGUGGAGCUUUCUCUGACAUGUGCAAAAAUUUACCUGACAUAUGCAAAGGUAAAAUUGGAAGUUCCUUUGGUUCCGAUAAUUUUGAUUGUUUUGGUGUUGCAUCAGAGAAUGGAAGGAGCGUUGAACGAAUUAAAAGAUUUGAAAGAGUUUUACGACCCGGACACAGUGGAUUUAAUGAGAUUUAUCAAGUA